AUGCUGCCGGCAUUAGAGUGGCCAGACAGGGAAGAGCCACCAAGUGGCCACCAGCAGGAACCGGAGGGGGGGGGGUUGCUGUGGACUGUGGCCACGCCCCUCAUCUGCCCAGCAAAGGCCUGCUGCCCCCUUCAUCACGCCCCCCACAUCCCAGGGUCCCAGCGCCCUCUGGCCUCAUCCCUCCGGGGUCCCCAGCCCCUGCCCUGGCCUGGGACACCAUCGUUUCCCGGCCGCCUGACUUCAGCCAUUCCUCAGCCCCCCUCCCAUCCUCUCCGCUCGAGGUACCUGCGUCCUCCAUUAAACCUCAGGACCCUGGACCCUAAGCUGGAAGCCUCCAAGGCUCCUCGGUGCCUUCUCGAGGUCGCCGGCUCCUGGGCUGGACUCCAGGCCCCGCACACUCGGCCCCUGAAGCCCUCUCCGGAAAUCUGGUUCGCUCUGGGCUCACUCUCAGUACCAGCCGUGACGGGCGAGGGCCUGGGAUUGGCCCCGUCCCCGCCUGGGACCCCCACCCUUGCCGGGAUCCCCCUCCUCAUCCCAGACCUGGGGGGGGGCUCUGCUGGGGGUUCCCGCUGUACCCCACGUCCCGCCAUCCUGGCACGGACCGCCCCUGUAGUGGAGGACGCUCAGGGCUUGGCGGGGGGCAGCUUGGAGGUAGGCCCAGGCCUUCCCUGGCAGCCCCCAGGGUCCCCUUUAGUCGCAGGCUCAUCUCUGGGGGGCCAGCAGACGUUGUGGGGCGCUCGCUCUGCAGGCCUGCUUUCUUGGAUGCCGCUCCCCUGGCAGGGCCCCGGCUCCCAGCGCAGAGGUGCACUUAGGGUUACUGGUUUGGUGGGUGCUGUGAGAGGUGGACGGACUCGUGACAGCGUCCACAGGCAGCCGGCAGGCCCCGAGGCAGGGACAGGCCUAACCGGUGGGGGGGCCCGGGCCGGCCACAGAGCCCUGCACUGCCUGGGGCUUCGAUCAGCAGCACUAGUGGAGGGAGGGGAGGCAGAGGGUGAAGGGGCGAUGGGGGCGGAGGAGAUGGGGGGGCAGGAAGAGGAGAAGCUGAGGGUGGGGGGCACGGGGAGGGGGCUGAGGGGCACCAGAGGGAACGGCCAGCUCUCAACGUUGCGUCUUUAG
rnacentral:lncRNA from 1 species